UAAGUGCCCUUUGGAGUGAGUAUGGAGAGUGCUCCAGAUAUGAGGCUUCCAUGGGCCUGGGGGAUGGACUCAGGAGGUUCGAGACUGCAUUUGGAUUGCGGCCAGAACUCAGGGCCCCUCCUCAAGAAGUUUGAAGCCCAGCCAGACCACCAUGAGAGUCUGCAGAGGACUGGGGUUCAGGGUACUGGGGGCCUCUUUUAGGAGUGCAGGCUGUUCCUGUGGACUCUGCCAGGGCUGGGAGCUGGGAACUGGGGGGUGGGCUGGAUCAGAGUGAACAGGAGCGGGCAGGCUGGAGUUGGGACACAUUCUCCAGCCUCUUCUGCUUGCAGGUGCCUGAGGACACCUUUAAACCUCCGCUCCCUUGUAAAACUUUUCCCAGCAAGAGGUAGAGGUAGGACAAAAGGCUGUGCCUUGGUCUCCAAAGUUUAGGAGAGGAGCCAUGGAGAUGGACAGAGAGAGAUCCCAUUGUCUCCGGACACGGCUGGCCAAGGGCCUCCCCCUCGGGAGCUGCUGCCUCUCAUCCACUUCCGGGGGGAAUGGACGCUACCUACCACCAAGCACCACGACCCUCCCCUGCCCUCUCCAGGCCUAAGAGUCAAGCUGCCAGGCCACCAGGCAGUGCCAGGUCCUGGCACAGGCUAGGUGCCUUCUGAGUGUUGGUUGAUGCAGGAAUAGACAGGAUCAUGUGACUGCUGCCCUCCCUCCACCCCCCAUCCAGCAGGGAGAGGCCCACCCUGGCCUCUGGAAGCCGGAGAAGAGGCUCACCUGCCUAAGGGCCUUCUGUCCAAAGUUCAAGGGAGCCCCACCCCUCCUGGAUGCUCAGCUCACCCCACCCCCCACAGGCAGGGCUACAGUGUGGUGGGCACUGCCACACCCGGACCUGCCACAGCCUCUUGGAGUCAGUGACAAGAACCAAAUGUCCCCCAGCCUCCACUCCUCCCCUUUCCUGCUUUUAUUAUUUUCUUUUCCAUAAAGAUUAGCCUGUGUUGCUCCUCUAUCAAGGCCUGGAGGAUAAACAUGUGGUCCGGAGGCAGAGAAACCCCAGGCCUGAAGGCCCCACUGCCCCCACCCCAGCAGCAUAAACCCGGGGCUUUUAAGCAAGGAAUGGUUUUCAGUAAAUCUUUCCUAUCAGCAGAAACCUUUGAAAGAGUUUGUUUAAAAGCCAGGGAGAUAAACAGCAAGGAGAAGUGUUUGUUUAAGAUGUAUGUUCUGU